rnacentral:rRNA from 1 species
GAGAGUCGGGCCGGUUCCCCGUUCGGGGGACGAGGGUGACAGGUGGUGCAUGGUGUCGUCAGCUCGUGUCGUGAGAUGUUGGGUUAAGUCCCGCAACGAGCGCAACCCUCGACCUUAGUUGCCAGCAUUCAGUUGGGCACUCUAAGGUGACUGCCGGCUAAAAGUCGGAGGAAGGUGGGGAUGACGUCAAAUCAUCAUGCCCCUUAUGACCUGGGCUACACACGUGCUACAAUGGGCGGUACAAAGGGUCGCGAACCCGCGAGGGGGAGCCAAUCCCAAAAAGCCGCUCUCAGUUCGGAUUGCAGGCUGCAAUUCGCCUGCAUGAAGUCGGAAUCGCUAGUAAUCGCGGAUCAGCAUGCCGCGGUGAAUACGUUCCCGGGCCUU